UGUAUCAAUCUGAAGAGCCACUAUUGUUCAUUUCAGCAAUACCCUCUAUUGAAAAAAUACCCAAUGGAGUACCAAAUUCUUCUACGCCUCCUUUUCUUUCAAUUAACGGCCUCAAAAUUUCUACUGGAAUGUUAAUAAAAUUUCCCGCGAGUGUUCUUGGUAGUUUUUCUAACGGUACAUACGACUAUAGAAUUAACAGUCUGUCCAAUUCUUGAUAUGUUCGGAUGCGCCGACAAGCUUAUAACCAUAGUUUAAUC
rnacentral:lncRNA from 1 species